GACCAGCGGCAUCACUCGAGCCCAGGUCCCAGCCACCACCACACAGAUCACUGCGCAUCCAAGAGGAGGAGCAGCUGAGGAGGCGGCAGCAACAGCGGCCGGAAGGUGCCAGAAAAGGCCCUGGUUGAAAAGCCUGGGCGGGCCGCUGAAAUACCCUCUGAGGAGGAGCUAGUCCCAGCCCAAGGCGCCACCGCAGACGCAGAGUGUGAAGGAGCAGUCGCCUUCAUGGCCCACUCACCGGUGGCUGUCCAAGUUCCCGGAAUGCAGAUUGUACAUUGAACUGUCUUACAAACAUACGUAAAGAAAUGCGUUCUUCACAUCCCAGAAUGUGUCCCACUUAUUUCAUUGUUCUUUUCCUCUGAUCUGAGCUUGGAUAUAGAGAAGAAUGCAAGUAGGAGGCAGAGGAAGCUCUUCUCUUACACUGUCUUGUGUAGGAGGAUUUA